ACGGGUGAGUAACGCGUGGGAAUCUACCCAUCUCUACGGAACAACUCCGGGAAACUGGAGCUAAUACCGUAUACGUCCUUCGGGAGAAAGAUUUAUCGGAGAUGGAUGAGCCCGCGUUGGAUUAGCUAGUUGGUGGGGUAAUGGCCUACCAAGGCGACGAUCCAUAGCUGGUCUGAGAGGAUGAUCAGCCACACUGGGACUGAGACACGGCCCAGACUCCUACGGGAGGCAGCAGUGGGGAAUAUUGGACAAUGGGCGAAAGCCUGAUCCAGCCAUGCCGCGUGAGUGAUGAAGGCCCUAGGGUUGUAAAGCUCUUUCAACGGUGAAGAUAAUGACGGUAACCAUAGAAGAAGCCCCGGCUAACUUCGUGCCAGCAGCCGCGGUAAUACGAAGGGGGCUAGCGUUGUUCGGAAUUACUGGGCGUAAAGCGCACGUAGGCGGAUUGUUAAGUUAGGGGUGAAAUCCCAGGGCUCAACCCUGGAACUGCCUUUAAUACUGGCAAUCUCGAGUCCGAGAGAGGUGAGUGGAAUUCCGAGU
rnacentral:rRNA from 1 species